AGAAAGAGAGAGAUGGAAUAUGAUAUGCCGGAUAUGAUAUUGCGUCGUUUUAUUAUAAUUAGCAAAGUUUAAAGCCAAAAAAAAAAUAAAACAACGCAAUGUCAUGUCAUAUUCCAUCUCUCUUUUUCUUCCUACUUUAUCGGCGAAAUGCGACUUCGUGUUUUAAUUUGCUGCCAUUUAACUGUUGGAGAUGCGCGUGAUGUUGAAGACAGCGCGAAAUGGCUAACCGGCAGUCCAUAGUUAUAUAGUCAAAGGUAAAGCUCCGAUUUUUUCAAGGUGUCAGUGGGUGACAGUGACAGACGUCAGCGGAAUGUCAGCUGAUCCGUGUCGUCAUUGAGCAGGUCUGUUACGCGUGGACUGGCGUGGGGACGACUACUGGUAAAUACCGGAACGUUAUCCGGAUUAUCAGCGUGAUAAUAAGUAGAAGGUCUCCAUGUCGAUAACUCGGGUAAUAAUGUCUGCGAUAAACGUGAAGACACUCACGCGUCAGAACGUACGGCGAUUCCUCAAUUCGUUCGACACCGUGCUGACGGACUGUGACGGCGUGCUAUGGAUGCACAUGACGCCCCUGCCGCAUUCGGCGGACGUCGUCAACCUGUUUCGCAAGCUCGGCAAGCGGGUCUUCUACGUGACGAACAACAGUACGAAGACCCGCGAUGACUUGGUGAAUAAGUGCAGGACCCUGAAGUUUGAGGCAACCAAGGACGACAUCGUGUGCACCGCUCAUCUGUCGGCAUGCUACUUACAGAGUUUGGGCUUCCGCAAGAAGGUCUACGUUAUCGGUUCCGAAGCGAUCGCAAAGGAAUUGGAGCUUGCUGGGAUCUCGUAUUGUGGAAUAGGGCCAGACCCAAUUAAACAGAAUAUCUCGUAUUCCGUUUUCGAGAAGAAUCCCGAAGUAGCCGCGGUUAUAGUCGGCUUCGACGAACACUUCAGUUACCCCAAAAUGGUAAAAGCAGCUACAUAUUUGAAUGACCCCAAUGUACAUUUUAUUGGUACCAAUACAGACGAAAGAUUUCCAGUUUCGGAUGAUGUUGUGAUACCCGGUACGGGAAGUCUGGUCAGGUGUAUAGAGAGUUGCUCGGAGAGGAAAGCGGUGAUUAUGGGCAAACCAGAUGAGUACAUGGCCAAGAUGUUGAUGGCACGAUCUGACAUCGAUCCCCAGCGUACUUUAAUGAUCGGAGAUCGGUGUAAUACCGAUAUACUCUUUGGCACUCAUUGCGGUUUUAUGACCCUGUUAGUUCUGACAGGAGUGACCGCUUUGUCGGACGUUGAAAAAUGGAAGCAGUCUGAGCGCCAAGAAGAGCGAAAACUCGUACCGAAUUAUUAUAUAGACGCGCUUGGUGAUUUAUUACCAUACUUGAAAGAAUUGGAAACUGAAAUGUCAUAAAUUCACAAGAUUUAAUUCCUGAAGAGGGAGAUUCAUUUCGAUUUAUUUCUUUCCUCGUGGAAAAGAGUAGCUAAACGAAAUGCGAUUGUUGGGGUAAAAGUAAAUGGAAAAUAUUUCCAAAUAUACAGACGGAGGGACGAUGCACAUUUUGGAUGAGAAAGGAGUACUACGAGAGAGAAAGAGAGAAAAGGAAGAUAAAUUGGUGUAGGAUGAAAGGAUGUGCAAAAAGAUCGUGAUAAUACAAUAUAUAUUAUUCAAAUAUAUAUAUAUGAUAAUGGUAAACUUAAUGGUAGAGAGAGUGAGAGAUACGAAUUCGUAAUCCUUACCUAGAGGUUGUCGUAAACUCAUAACAAUGAAAUAUAUUUAACGCGUUAUAUCAUCAUAUAAUAAAAGAAGCGUGUAGUAUGUGUGUAUGAUGUAUGUCCGUUUUGUGUUUGUGUGUAUGUAUGUAUGCAUGUCUUUCAUCUCGUCGUGUACAUCUGUAUGUUUUAUUUAAUGUUUUAUUUAUUUCUGUAUAUUGUUUUUUUACUUUCUAAGUUUCAUCGGAGGGCCGUGUCCCUUCCUAAUCUCUGCGGAGAUAAGAGAAUUAGAGGUGCAUGCCUAUAUCUUACAUAGACACAUCCAAAUAUCGUUUUUCGAAGAGCAUGAGUCGUAAAACUUUAUAACAGCUAAUCCUUAACGGUUUUCGAUGCGUAAGUUGUAUUGUAGCAAGACAGCGUAACAUUCAUUACCACCAUACGUAACGUUCGCAAUGGGUGAUAUUACAAGAAACCCGUAAUGUUUUUCUCAGACUGAUACACAGAGACCUUCGAAGCCGCCUUCGCGGACCACGUUCUCUCCGGAUCGGAUCGUUUUAAAAGUUCGAUAUGAAGUUUCAGUGAAAAUCACAGUUCGCUCAUGAUACACAUGUCGAAAGGAUAUAACGCAUUCAAGGUACGCUUCAAUUUUACAACGAAAUGCAUUGCAGCAUGUCGAUCGAGGGGGAUCGGCUGUAACAAUAAAUAAUUUCUCUUAUACAUCUUUUUGAAACGUAUAUCACAAAUCUUUCGCGGACUAGAAAAACACGCGAUAAUAACACUAUUAAACAUAAUCUUUGUUAUAUGUAAUAUUUUUCUUCUUUUCUGCACAUUUUCCUACGCUGCAUUCAAAAAUGACAUUAGAAUUUUUUUUUAUGAUAGAAAGAGAGAUAGAGAUAGAGAGAAAGAGUACUAAUUGUUUUGAAAUAUGUAAAACAAAGAGAAAUACGCUUGAAGAAAGCAUACGAUCGCUUUUUUUUUAUUGCCAUGCUACACUAUCCUCUCGGAGGCAAAAUUUGCAUUAGUUUACACACGCCCGUAGGGAUUCCGGAUCCUAUGGACGAUUAAACAUUGAUACAGCCUUAAAAAGUAUAUAUGUAUUUCGAUAUGUGCGAUCACUUAAGUAGAAUCGCCGCCGGUGAUAUUGCAAUCGAAGAGUUUACCUCUAAAACUGUCUGUAAAUGCACGUUAAAAGCAAGUUAUGUUUUACGUAGCUUUGCUACCCACAUAAUCUUCUUUUUUUUUUAUAUAAGGAUAUGUUCUUGAGCUUUCGGAAGUAAGCUCUUCGAUCUCGCGGAUCGUCGUCACUUCCCUCUCGUUCUCUAUGAAUUAGUACGUAUUAAUGAUUAGUCUUGUAAUUGGCACAAGUUUUCUCGUGUAUUUGUAGGUAAAUCGAACGGCUUUAUAACAAGAGACGAUCUUACUAUCUUCAGGUGUCCAUCGUAGACGGUUCAGAUAAUAGGGAGGAAAAAGCGGAUGUGAUGAUAAGAACGACGUGAGGGAUUCCACAUAAACGAUUCUGCAGUCGUCCAACACCUUUGGAAAACUGACGAAUGUUAACUUCGCUACAUUUACACUACAAUGCUGUAUUAUAACAUAUAAUAUAAAUCAACGAAUUUAAAUCUAAUCGUUCCUACAGCACUCGUUUUAAGAUCUCUGGUACAGAAAAAAAUGUCCGUAUUUUAUAAUGAUAAGUUACGCCGCAAGCAUGUUAUUAUUUCUGAAAUGUUGUUAUAAGUGGAAUAUUAAUUAAAACUGCCGACACACAUACACACACACGCACACACGCAUAUACACACACAUGCACGCGCACACACGCACAUUUACAUGCACACUUCAGAGAAACCACAUACACACACAACACACACGAUAAUCGUUCGACAGAUACCUCUAACGGAAAUUGUGAAAAUUAAUGAUACGCUGUAAUUUCAAUAAAUGACCACACAGAGCGAUUCAAACUUAUGUCGCUAAACUUGAGAAAAUUUUUAUUUUUUUAAAAUAAGAUAAUAUCUGAGAAAUUUUAUAAAUACUUUUUUAAUUAUUAUACGAGGAAUGUAUCAAUUAUGAUUAUCAGACAAACGGCAUAAAAGAUCUUGCGAUUUUUAAAUUUGUAAUUAAAAAUUUAAAAAAUGUAUUACCUUAUACACUUUUCCGUUUUAUACAAAUAUAUUCUUAAAAUUGAUACAAUUGGACGAAAUCUUUUCUGUCGGUUGUUUCUUUAAGGCGUUUUUUGAUUGUUUAAUACUUUGAAAGGACAUAACAUUCAGAUCACAUAGAGAAUAACAACUUUAUUACAUAGAUAUUAUCAGUCAAUUAUAUUAUCUCGUUAAUAAUAUAUUUGCAGACGUUAGUUAAUCAAAAUUUUAUUUUUCUUCCACGUACGACACGCAAUCGAGCGACAUAGAUUUGAAUUACUCUGUAUUUCUUCAUAAACUCUAAA